ensembl:miRNA
UGAAAGUGCCUUCACUGCAGUAGAAUUGAACAAAACUACCUGCACUGUAAGCACUUUGGC